rnacentral:rRNA from 1 species
AUUGAACGCUGGCGGCAUGCCUUACACAUGCAAGUCGAACGGCAGCAUGAUCUAGCUUGCUAGAUUGAUGGCGAGUGGCGAACAGGUGAGUAAUACAUCGGAACGUGCCCUGUAGUGGGGGAUAACUAGUCGAAAGAUUAGCUAAUACCGCAUACGACCUGAGGGUGAAAGUGGGGGACCGCAAGGCCUCAUGCUAUAGGAGCGGCCGAUGUCUGAUUAGCUAGUUGGUGGGGUAAAGGCCCACCAAGGCGACGAUCAGUAGCUGGUCUGAGAGGACGAUCAGCCACACUGGGACUGAGACACGGCCCAGGCUCCUACGGGAGGCAGCAGUGGGGAAUUUUGGACAAUGGGCGAAAGCCUGAUCCAGCAAUGCCGCGUGUGUGAAGAAGGCCUUCGGGUUGUAAAGCACUUUUGUCCGGAAGAAACGCUUCAAGAUAAUACCUUGAAGUAAUGACGGUACCCGAAGAAUAAGCACCGGCUAACUACGUGCCAGCAGCCGCAGUAACAC